UAAGGAAUAUUGGUCAAUGGACGCAAGUCUGAACCAGCCAUGCGGCGUGAAGGAUGAAGGUCCUCUGGAUUGUAAACUUCUUUUAUCUGGGACGAAAACGGGAUUUUUAUCUCAAUUGACGGUACCAGAGGAAUAAGCACCGGCUAACUCCGUGCCAGCAGCCGCGGUAAUACGGAGGGUGCAAGCGUUAUCCGGAUUUACUGGGUUUAAAGGGUGCGUAGGCGGGCAUGUAAGUCAGUGGUGAAAUACCGGAGCUUAACUUCGGAACUGCCAUUGAUACUAUAUGUCUUGAAUAUUGUGGAGGUAAGCGGAAUAUGUCAUGUAGCGGUGAAAUGCAUAGAUAUGACAUAGAACACCGAUUGCGGAGGCAGCUUGCUACGCAAAUAUUGACGCUGAGGCACGAAAGCGUGGGGAUCAAACA
rnacentral:rRNA from 1 species